GUACCCCAAGUUGGCUUAGCUUAGGGGUGUUGAGUGAAAGAAACAAAUUGUAUUAAUAGUUGAUUGUAUUUGGAAGUCGAAAAGAAUGUAAAAAUUAAUGGAAAUGUGAUGUAAAUGAGUGAAUACUUGUAAUAGCUUAGCAGUUAUGUUUUGGAUGCCUUCCUUAUGCAAUCGUGUAUGAAAUCUAUUCCUAUUUGGAACCCCGUGAUUUGUACUGUUGCGGCGCCUUUGACGUACAGAGGAAACUCUGUCCGUUCGGCGGUCUGUCGGCGCGCCCGAAUCCAACCAAAGGUGUGACAUGGGCAACCG
rnacentral:lncRNA from 1 species